GUGUCUUUUAUUUCCACAGUUUCUCAUCUCCGCACCAGUAGAGAGGGGCUCACAGGACCCUGCAGGGCUGGACCUUACCACAAGAGGGAGCUGUAUGGGCACAGAGAGCACUGACCCAUUGUGGAGCAGGGGUGGGGAAGGCGAAGAGCAAUUGGGCAGGCAAAGAACUAACCGGGAAGGAGGGAGGGAGAAAGAGAGAGAGGGAAGAAACAGAGAGAGAGAGAGAGAGAGAAGGAGAGAGAAAGAGAGAGGUUCUUUCAGGGUCCGCACUAGGCUCAGUGUGUCUGAAGCAGUGUGUGCUGGCUUGGGAGAUUGAGAGAUGGGGCUGGAAAGGUAAGUGGAAUAGAUAGUAAAGACCUUUAUCGACCAUUUACGAAGCUUGGAUUUUAAAUAGCAAAGAGUGGAGAACAAUAAGUAUUUACAGAUGCUUACUCUACGACCUCAAUCAGUUUUUAAAGCAACUCUAAGAGACAGGUGCUAUUAGUAUCCCCAUUUUACAGAUGAGAAACCUGUGCUAGAAACGAGAGAGUCAGGAUUGAAACCAGGUAGUCCAGCCUCAGAGACCAUGUAUUUGAGCAUAGCCCCUGGGCUAUGUGGCCUCAUUUAAGGGUUUCAGCAGAGAAAUGCCAUGGCCACAUAGAAAUGUUGGAAUGGCAGGAUCUCAGAAAGACCGACCGACUGACUGACGGGAUCCAGGGCUGAGGGAGGGAGAUGGUGGCCGUGGAGUUGGGUGAGCUGCUCUACCAGUCUGAGUACCUCAAGACAGCAUCUGGGAACAAAGUCAGUUACCAGUGUUGUGUGGAAUCUAGACCAUCGUUCUCAACAGAAAGACUGUUGUGAUGAACGACUGUGUUAUCCUAGGGGAUCUGGCAAACGUAAGAGUUGGACACCAUGGUGUUGUGAAAAGUCGUAGUGUCAUAAGGCCACCAUUCAAGACAUUCAGCAAAGGUGUUGCAUUCUUUCCUUUACAUAUUGGGGACCAUGUCUUUAUUGAGGACGAUUGUAUGGUCAACGCAGCUCAGACUGGUUCCUAUGUUGGCAAGAGCUGUGUGACUGGGUGCUGGUGUGUGUUGAACGACUGCUGCAAAAUUCUUGACAACGCAGUAUUAUCUCCAGAAACUGUGGUCCUACCAGUCACUGUCUUCUCGGGCUGCCCAGGAUGCUCACACAGGCAAUGCCCAGCUUUGCUGCUGCUAAUGCAUCUGGCCAGUUGUUGCAGUUGCUCAUAAUCCUGGGAAAAGGUGUUUGUGACUUUUCGGAGCACAGAUUCCUGUUGGCUGUUAAAACUUGAAGGGAGGGGUGAUUAGUGUUUCUCUCUCUUCUUCCUAAAAGGACCUUAGCUGUCCUAGGGUAGUUAGUCAAAGAUUUUUUACCAUUUUGACCUAGGGCCUUUGGCUUUCACUAAAAGUGGGGACCUCAGCAUCCCAGAUUAUACUUUUGCCAGGUGUUAGAUUUGAGUCUGUCAUGUGGAUGCAUUAGUUAGAUGGUUAGUCCUUGCCUCAAGGUACUUACCUUAUUUCAUUGAAGACACCGUAUCUGUGAACUCUUGCUUCCUGCCCUGGAACCAUUCAGCCUACCCUGUAUUUGCUAUAAACUCCACAAUUCACACAAAAAUGUCUGUAUUAGGAGCCCAGUCACAUAUAUAUAUAUGAAGGGCUCUUAAAAUCAGUUUGUGGGCACAGAGCCCCAGGAGUAAAUGAAGCUGCCAGGGCUGUUCUUACCGUCUCCUUCUGGCCAAUAGCACAACCAUUCCUGGUUCUGCUCUGACCUCUUAGCUUAGAACGCAGAUUUAGAAGUGAGGGGCUGAGAAAGCUGGCCUUGCUUAGUGCUCUGAUCUGUAAGUGAAUAGGGCAGAACAGUUCAGCCUUGAAGGUUAGAAUUUAGCAGGAGCCAUCCUGACUUAAUGUCCAUUUUUGGGGUUUGCAAAACAAAACAGCUGUAUGUAAUCAUUUCCGCUAGUUCCAUCUAGAACUCCUUUCUAGUUUGUCAUU